rnacentral:rRNA from 1 species
ACGAAUCCCAUCUGGGUAACUGGGUGGGGGAAGUGGCGAAAGGGGCAGUAAGGCGUGGGCAACCUACCCCGGGGAUCGGGAUAGCCGUCCUAACGGACGGAUAAUACCGGGCGAUCUGGCGAGGAGGCAUCUUCUGGCCAGGAAAUGAAUUUCGCCUCGGGAGGGGCUCACGUAGUAUUAGCUUGUUGGCGGGGUAACGGCCCACCAAGGCCAAGAUGCUUAGCGGGUGUGAGAGCACGACCCGCGCCACUGGCACUGAGACACUGGCCAGACUCCUACGGGAGGCUGCAGUCGAGGAUCUUCGGCAAUGGGCGCAAGCCUGACCGAGCGACGCCGCGUGUGCGAUGAAGGCCUUCGGGUUGUAAAGCACUGUCGAGGGGGAGAAAAGCCCGCAAGGGUCUGAUCUAUCCCUGGAGGAAGCACGGGCUAAGUUCGUGCCAGCAGCCGCGGUAAGACGAACCGUGCGAACGUUGUUCGGAUUCACUGGGCUUAAAGGGCGCGUAGGCGGACGGUCAAGUCGGGGGUGAAAUCUUUCAGCUUAACUGGAAAACGUGCCUUCGAUACUGAUCGUCUCGAGGGAGGUAGGGGCAUGCGGAACUUCCGGUGGAGCGGUGAAAUGCGUAGAUAUCGGAAGGAACGCCCGGUGGCCAAAGCGGCGUGCUGGACCUCUUCUGACGCUUAAGGCGCGAAAAGCCAAGGGGAAGCGAACGGGAUUAGAUACCCCCGGUAGUCCUUGCCCUUAAACGAAUGGGUACUAAAUUGUGGAACUUUAACAUGGGUUUCCCAAUCGAAAGCUUAAAGUGUUAAGUAACCCCCCCCUGGGGAGUAUUGGUCCCCAAGGCUUAAACU